CCCCAUCCGUGCUGUUCUUCGCUUGAAUCGUUCGUUUUUGCUUACCCUAGUUUACCUGACCCUCACAGUUCCGCGAGGCCCGACGCCACUCCCCUCCUCCUACGGCGCUCCAUCAUCCCGAUCCUCCUCUGACUCGCCGAACAGAUCCUUCUCGGUGGGCGCAGCCUCCCAUCCCUCCCGUUCACCUUGAAUUUCUCCAGAUUCAUAAGCUGUUAUCUCCUCGCGUGCCCCCGUCAACAGCCGUGAAGACUGAUAUUCAUCCCCCGUCGAGUUCCUCUUGAUGUAAAAGUUGCCCAUCCAUCUACCUCCAGCCCCAAUCCCCAAGAUCAAAGAUUCUUCUAGAAAAGGAUUGGCUGGGAUUAUCAUUCACUCAUCACCGCCCUCCAACAAAUCUCUCAAUUCUUGGUUGGGAUUUUGUUUUCGAAUAUUUGCUAUUUUACUCCCUGAUGUGGUGACAUGGUGUCCGUGUUACUGCUGGGUUGACUGGAUCGACCCUGGUGCCUAUGCCAAUUACCAAUCGACGAGCUGUGGCAACGAGCCUACUUGCAGCAACAUAUCAUGAGCCCCCCCAAUAUUUGCUGGCUUCAACCUGAAUAGGCCCUGUAGAGCACCUUCUGUCCAGGUGCUGAACGCCAGCAGCCCAGGACCAUCUUGCGAAACAUCAGGAGUUUAACUGCUUUGGUCCUUCAAAUAACUGGUUUAGCAAGCUGGCGGCGCUUACUUUGAAUUCAACCUCAGUCAGUACCUCAACCAUCACUCUAAUUAGGUUACGUCAAAAUGUCGUUUUUAUUUCCUUUUUUUUGUGAAAUCUAAGGAUCUCUUGCAUCGCAUACUGAAGAGUUUCAGAGACACUACCAGUCCAGGAUAUAAUUGUUUUAUGCCAUGCUCUCUUGUAUUUGAAGGGUUCCAGCAUAUGACUAAACAGUGUCCAUAACUAUGUAAUGGGAAUUUGGAUGUACGCACUGCAAACAUAAAUAAGAAAUUAGCUUAUGUUCUACAAUUUGCACACAGAAUUACUGCUGAUCAAAUCAGCUGAUAAGAAAUAAAAAUUAAGUUGUCGUAUACUACUGAUCAAAUUGGUUGACAAUGAACCUGAAACCAGUUGUAGGCAAUGCACACUGCAUUACUACUGAUGAAAUCUGCUGACAAUAAACCUGAAACCUGUAAGCAAUUCAUUACUACUGAAUACUGAUUAAAUCUGAAAUCUAGGCUUAUGUCAACGUAGAUAUAUGUAUCAGUUCAUUGCUUUGCCCAAAAAAUGUUGUCCAAUUAAUUAUUGGAAGUACUGCAGGAAAGAAUCAAUAAUAGCCUGAAUAAAUUGAGCUAUCCAAUUGUAAGUAAUGGGUUGGAUUUGAAAUAAUAGCUGCUAAUUAAUUCAAAGCACACAUUAUGAGGGGAAAUGGAACCUUCUUGACCUAUUGAUUUUGGAGAUGACUGAAAACUACAAAUAUCUAGUCAAAGGGCAAACAAGACAGAAAAGAUACUACUAGAAGUGAUAUUCCAGCUCACUUGCAGUAGUACGGAUAUCCCAUGAGGCACUAGGUCACUGAAGUAUUUUCAUAUGUUAGAGGUCAGCAGACAAAGCUGGCAGCAUCACACUUGUCAUCAGGUUAAUAAUAUUUUUUAUUGAACACUUAUCAGGUUAAUAAUAAAAAUAUCUCACAAAUUAAUCACCAGCACUCGCUUAACUUUGCGCACAUGAAUGGACUCUCCUGUAAACUAAUGGAUGGAUGCUCUAUGACAGUCGAAUAUGUCAAAUGGUGUUGAGGCCUAUACUCAUGGUGCUUACCUACUUGUGUCCUACACUUCCUAUGACCUAUGAGGCUAAUUUCGUGCAUUGUUACAGAGGGCCGCUGGUGUCGGGAAUUUUUUUGAAUUUAUAUUUCAGAUUCUAUAAGUGCAUAUUGGAAAUUUUCAGUACUGCCACACCGUCAUUGUUUCUUCCCUGACCAGGUCCAUGCCAAUUGCCAAGUGUUAGACACCACAUGGCUUGCCUACUUUUGCAUCUAAAUCCUGCACCUAUAUGAACUUGGCACUUGGGUUGAUGGAUGCUAUUGCCAUCUGAGUUUUUGUUGUUUUUUAAUGUUGUUUGUUCUCCUUUUCUUUUCAUUGCAGAGGUCCUACUGCAUUUCAGCUGGAGUAUCUGAUAGGGGUUGAUUAUCAUAGAAUGCAUGCCAGCUAAGUGAAAACAACAAACUCGACUGAUCAGUAUUUGUUCUGCAGGUAAGGGUGUAAACGAAGUGACUAAUUAAGUAUUGGGAACAAGAAGAAGUAUGCAGUGUCACACACUUCAGCUAAUAGUGGCACUGCCGGUUCACUGUAUGUUCUCGGAUGUGAUUUUGCUUUGUUGCAUUGAGUCAACAUAAAGUGCUUAUUAAUGUUGCAGGGGAGGGAUUCUGUCCAACCUCAAAGUAGCGAGAUAACUCGAGGGCAUCCUUGGUCUAAUGGUUUAUGAAAGAAGAAUUACAAGUUUGGGUGUUUAGCACAGUAUAGACUUUGCUAGUACCUGCUGGUUCUUUCUACCACUCAAUAAUUACUGUGCGAUGAUUUGAUUGUUGUACAAUCAUAAUGUUCUAGGUGGAGUUUGGUUAUGAAUCUAAGGUUCAAUUAGGUCAAGUAUUGUAUUGUAUUGCAAACAAAUGUCCUAUUGUCAAGAGCUAACUUUGGAAAAAUUUGCUUUUUGCAAAUAAACAUGUGGCAUUUUGUGCAAUUUAAACUAGCGGAAGAAGUUGGUGAAAA